ACKGCUCAGUAACACGUAGUCAACCUACCCUAUGGACGUGGAUAACCUCGGGAAACUGAGGAUAAUCCGCGAUAGAUCAUAACUCCUGGAAUUGGUUUAUGGUCAAAAUGAUUCGUCGCCGUAGGAUGGGACUGCGGCCUAUCAGCUUGUUGGUGAGGUAAUGGCCCACCAAGGCUAUUACAGGUACGGGCUCUGAGAGGAGAAGCCCGGAGAUGGGUACUGAGACACGGACCCAGGCCCUAUGGGGCGCAGCAGGCGAGAAACCUUUGCAAUGUGCGCAAGCACGACAAGGUUAAUCCGAGUGUUUCCUGCUAAAGGAAUCUUUUGUUAGUCGUAAAACCACUAGUGAAUAAGGGGUGGGCAAGUUCUGGUGUCAGCCGCCGCGGUAAAACCAGCACCUCAAGUGGUCAGGAGGAUUAUUGGGCCUAAAGCAUCCGUAGCCGGCUUUACAAGUUUCCGGUUAAAUCCAUUCGCUCAACGAAUGGGCUGCCGGAAAUACUACAUAGCUAGGGAGUGGGAGAGGUAGACGGUAUUCGGUAGGAAGGGGUAAAAUCCUUUGAUCUAUUGAGGACCACCUAUGGCGAAGGCAGUCUACCAGAACACGUUCGACGGUGAGGGAUGAAAGCUGGGGGAGCAAACCGGAUUAGAUACCCGGGUACCGAGCUCGAAUUCGUAAUCAUGGUCAUAGCUGUUUCCUGUGUGAAAUUGUUAUCCGCUCACAAUUCCACACAACAUACGAGCCGGAAGCAUAAAGUGUAAAGCCUGGGGUGCCUAAUGAGUGAGCUAACUCACAUUAAUUGCGUUGCGCUCAC
rnacentral:rRNA from 1 species